AAUAUACGAAGCCGGAUUUGGGCAUUCUUUUUACGUACGAUCCCGGUUUAAUGAUAUUAAACAUAGUAGGAAUUUAAAUAGAUACUUUUUGGGCAUUUUAUUAUCAAAGUUAAUUUUAUUAACUCCAAGGUGGUUACAAUACUUGACUUUUUAGGUCAUUACAAAGAGUUGAAAUAUCGGGUUGUUACAUCAUCCCCCCGUUAGAGGGAAUUUCGUCCCGAAAUUUUAAUACAAAAGAGAAGUCUUAGGGGCUGAGGAAGAGGUGCGGAUACUUCUGUUGCAUUUGGUCUUCCCGUUCCCAUGUGAACUCGGGUCCUCUCUUAGCAUUCCAUCGAACCUUUACUAUUGGAAUGCGACUCUGUUUAGUUCGUUUAACUUCCCUAUCCAUGAUCUCGACGGGUUCUUCCACAAAGUUAAGAUUUUCAUUUAGUUCGAUUUCAUCGAGUGGAAUUACAAGUGUUUCGUCGGACAAACACUUCUUCAGGUUCGAUACGUGGAAUACUGGAUGUACUUUGUUAAGCUCGAUUGGAAGACGGAGUUUGUAGGCCACUGGACCAACUCUUGAAAUGAUUUCGAAGGGUCCAAUGUACCUAGGAUUUAGCUUUCCACGCUUUCCAAAGCGUAUCAUGCCCUUCCAGGGUGAGACCUUCAGUAGUACACGGUCGCCAAUCUGGAAUUCCAAGGGUUUACGUCUUUUGUCGGCAUAGCUCUUUUGCCUAUCCCUUGAGGACUUCAGUCGUUCUCGUAUUUGCACGAUCUUUUCAGUCGUUUCUCUGAUGAUCUCCGGACCAGUGAGGGUGCUAUUAGGGGCUAGACCUUUUGCCAAUUGCGUGUCGCCCACUUCCGUCCAGCACAGAGGUGAUCUGCACUUACGGCCGUAAAGGGCUUCAAAUGGAGCAGUCUUGAUACUAGUAUGAUAACUAUUGUUAUAAGAGAACUCGACCAAAGGUAAGUGAACAUCCCAUGCCUUACCAAAGUCGAUUACACAUGCUCGCAACAUGUCUUCCAAGGUUUGGAUCGUCCUCUCACUCUGUCCGUCAGUUUGUGGGUGGUAUGCUGUACUCAUAUCCAACCUUGUUCCCAUGGAUUUUUGCAAUGAUUGCCAGAAUCUGGAAGUGAAUCUGCUGUCUCUAUCUGAGAUAAUGGACAUCGGUACUCCAUGAAGUCGUACGAUUAAGGAAUUUCUUUAAAAAUAUCGCCGGUCUUAAUUAAACAUAGUAGGAAUUUAAAUAGAUACUUUUUGGGCAUUUUAUUAUCAAAGUUAAUUUUAUUAACUGAAAGGUGGUUACAAUACUUGACUCUUUAGGUCAUUACAAAGAGUUGAAAUAUCGGGUUGUUACAGGAACCAGAAGGCGGAAACGUCUGAAGGAUCUUAUGAUUUAAAUUGAAUACCAUCACCAUGAAUAUACAUGAAUCAUAACAUAAAUCAUCACCAAGCAUUGAAAUAUUACAACCGAUAUUGUUUACAUCCAAUACAUUGUUUUAGACAUUA
rnacentral:lncRNA from 1 species